CACAAACAUGACACUCCCAAGCACAAAGCACAGCAUGAUUCUUAAUGUCGAUGGCGCCCACCCAUGCUUUUAUAAACAAACUUUACCAUGCACUCCACAUACUAUCUACAAAUCAAACAUAUAAAGCACGCUACACUACCCGCCAUUCUAGCGCCUCCGCGUACGCGAUGCCCGUUCGGCCGCUGGAUUCGUUCCCUGUAGCUCCCUUUUGGCUGCUGGCGUGUGGUGGGCCGUUGAUUUUUUUUUCACGUUCAUGACUGCUUUGAGAGUGGAUGACGAGUGGGGCUCGUUACGUGUGGGGUCGAGAGAAUGGCGUGAAGUUCGUCCAAUUCUGCCUAAGAAAAGCAUCGAACGGUGAGGGGUAAAAAAGAAAAAAGCCUCGCCGGCCGCUUCGCCCAGCCGGCGCCCACUAGCUGCUCUCCCGCCGCAUCCUCCCCGAGAGUCGUGGUGGCAGCACACCAUCGCCCCCUCUGCUGCAAGAGAUCCAGCCACCCCGGCCCUGGAUCGCCGUCUCUCCUCCUUUUCCUCCUCUCUCUCCCGCGCCGCCGUCCUGCCCCCAUCCAUCCGUGCUCGACCCCGACCCUGGAUCCCAUCCCACCGGAUCCGAGGUGUGUGGACGUGGGGGCGAGCUUCUCCGACGGCAGCGAUGACCAUCAUCCAGGCCCCCUUGCUCACGGUGGAGAGACUACGACCGAGGGGAUGCAGAGGAGGAGCGGGCCUCGUGGAGGAGGGGCCGCAGCUGCGGGAGCUCUCCAUGGAGGAGGAUUCCGUGGCGGUGGACCAGAGCGUGCGGUGGCGCGGAAGUAACAGUGGAGGCCGGAAGAGCGUGGCGGGCAUCAUGUGGCUGCGGUGGCCGAAGGGGCGGCGCGGCGUUGCUGCCUCUACCUCCAUCCCGACCCUUUUACUCGCGCGCAGGCUAUACUUGCAAGUGCAUUUGCUCGUAAGGACCAUUCGAAGGCCAAGCCCACAGCUUACCGCAUACUGCAGCUCGGAUUGAUCUUGGGGCUUCUCCUAGGCCUACUUCUUGGAGUUGGCCUCCAUACAGGUCCGAGAUUAUUUACAGAAGACCAGGGUGUACUGCAUCAUAUCGACGUGGCAACACCGGUACAGUUACAUUGUGCUGAAUCAUAAGAGUACCGCAACUCUGAAUCUUGAAAUGUUAAUAGUUAUGUUCUCAUGAUUUUCUUGCAGUUCAUAGUACUUGCGAGUAUACCCCUAAAAAAAUUAGUACUUGAGAGUAUGACAAUCUUUUCUUAUGUUUCAUUACCUCAAGGCAAUCUCUUGAACUAAGCAGAGUUAUGUUUCCUAUGUACAGUUUGUUGCUCUCACUCAACCAAUCAACGCUUUAGCUUUUGUUUUCGACGGUGUCAAUUAUGGAGCAUCAGAUUUUGCAUAUUCUGUUUAUUCAUUGGCAAGUCCGCUAAUUUUCCAGCUUAUUUGUGCUCUAGCUUUCCAGCUUUCUCUUCUGACACAUUCCAUUGACUUAUGUAUUCUCAGAUACUUGUGGUUGUUGUCAGCAUCGCUUGCAUUGUCAUCCUCGCCAGUUACAGUGGUUUCGCUGGAAUCUGGAUAGUCUUGUCCAUCUACAUGUGCCUCCGCGUGUUUGGAUUAUGGAGGUAGAGUGAGGAAGCACUCUCAUUUUAUUAUAUUUUGUGAAUAUUUAUUAUUACGACGGAAACCAAACAACAAAUACCCGUAUUCACUAAUGGCUUGUUAAAAUGGGCUUUCUGGGAUAAAAUAUGCAAUAAACGAAGCCGUAAUUGGUUAUACCUCAUUGCUCAUUUUUGUUUAACUCUGGAUCCCCUUUAAAUAAGAAUACCUACUCCGUAUUUGCUUGAGUUUUCCUUUUGUAUACCUGGCGUGGCUAUAUUUUCUAUACUGGUUACAGUUUAGGUACCCUUGAUUUAUUUUUUCCAGGAUUGAGACUGCUAGCGGGUCAUGGGCUUUCCUUCGCAGCUGAACAUGUAACGUGCAUUCUCGUAGAUAGUCCAACUUAUAAGGUAGGUAGAAUAUUUAUACUUGUAAGCAACUUUGGAGUAACCCUGUAACUUGUAUGCCAUAUACAACUUUGGAGUUCAGACUAAGAUUUGGUGCGUCAGUAUAUGAAAUCUACUAUAAAUCAAAAGCCAAUAUAAAGGUAUGCUCCACCUUGAUUGUCGCUACUAUGUUCCACUCCUAUAUUGACCAGGGAAAGUUGUAUAUUAUGCCAAUUUUUCCUUCAAUUUACUACUGUGUUUAAAGUGUAUGUAUCGAACGAACCAAUUCCUUCAGUUAUAUCAGUACAUAUUAAAACGAAAAGGUGUAUAUGAACAUAAGCAUUCAUACGAACUAAAAUUGUUUGUCAUCCAUUCCUUUCCUGCGGGUCAUUCAACAUCUCAUCUCACAACACACAUGCCACAUAACCUGGCGAGCUCACGCCUUACUCAGUUCUAUGUACCAGCUAUGUAGCUUUAUUCACUGAACUGAGAUGAUGUUUGUGCUCAGUUAGAUGUUGCUUGCUCGAUUUUGACCAUGCUUGAUGCAAUAAUGAAUCUAUUUGAUAUGGGACCUAUCUAUUCUUUGAUGAUGUUUGGUUACAAAUCCUGGAGCUAUUCUUUUUGUAUUGAGAAUACUACCUUUUAUCACCUUAUUUGGUUGCAGUUCAUCUUUGCAAUUAGUUGUGUUAGUAAACUAAACCGAGAAUUUUGUUAACUUUUUAUGGCUUGGGAUCUUGCAGCUGCUGCGGCUUGCUGUGUGUGUGGUGAGGGUUACUUCUCCUGGUGCAGUAAUACCAUUUUGGAGUGUCCAGUGUUUGCAACUAUAAUUAUCUACAACCUCUGCUAACAGGGCUCCGGUUCAGAGAAAAUCAAAGGGACAAACAAAACUGCCAGCCCUCAAAGAGGUCGUUCAGCCUCCAAGGAGAAGGGAACUGAUGGAUGCCAGGGAAAGAAACUAGGUGAAGAUCUGAUGCUUAAUCGAGUAAGCAUCCUCUUCUUAUCACUCUACUUUGUCGGUUGUCCACUGAAAUGGUAUGAUCAGAAUAUUCCUCGAAUUUGCUCCAUGACAUCUUGCUUGCCAUGUGGUCACCUUACCUCAAAAUUGACAUAUUAAUCAAUGAAUUACUGCUUAGGCAAGGGUUUGUAGUCCCAGUAAACUAUAAAACCAAAUAAUUGUUCCAAAAUUUCGAAUUUACCUUUGCACAUGUAGAAGAGCAUCAUAGAUUGUUUAGACUUGGUGUUCCAAAAAAGUAUAGUCGUAUGGUCAGACGCCGGUUCUUAUUUGGUUUAGAGGUAUGCUACUCCAAACAUAUGUUCAUUUUGGGUUUAGAUUUUGUAGAUUGAACUAAUGCGAUACAAAAAUUAUCCGUCACCUGAAAGGUUCUUCCCUGUUGGUUUCGGGAUUAGUAUUUUGAUCUCUGUUUGAAAAAGGACAAACAAGAACAGACUCACUAACACCCUCAGGUUCCUCCCUGUUGGUUUCAACAUCAGUAUUUUGAUCUCUGUUUGAAAACUAUUAGAAAGGGACAGAUAAGAACACACUCAUUAACACCCUCUAAUAUCUUUUUAAUUAUGAACUCAGUUAGCUGAACUUUAUCGCAUAGAUUUCUAAUGGUUUAAUAUGUAGUUGUUUUUCGUAAUUUCAGUUGACUAGCUCUAUGAAUAUAAAACAUAAAUAAUUGUCUGCUAUUCACUUAAGGUUCAUAUACUUUGGGAUUUUCAGUUAGAACGAUUUCUUAAGUAUCCACAUCUAUUGGGCGGCUUGAGAAUUCAGUUUUUUUCGUAUGACACCAGACUAGGUACAACUAAUAUGGCGCCAUCUUUGCUUCAGUCUAUGUAUACUUUGCCUUUUGGCCUCUGUAGCAAGUCAAAGUAGUAGCUGUUGUCCAGAUGCAUUAUUUCAUUAUCUUUGUUCAUGCUUUUGUUUGCAGCAGUUAUUUUUUUGAAAAGGUCUUUUUAUUGGAGUCAACUACACAACAGCUCGAUGUCUCUAUCAAGGAAGAUUUCAGUUGAAUUUAGAUGCUUACUGAGACAAAAUUUCCCUUUUUGAUCGACCUGACACCUAUGCCCAGUUUCUGACAAAGCAGAGAUGAUCUUACUUCUGUCAAAGAGUAUUGUUUAUAUGUGACGCUAAUAUCUUGGUUCUCCAUUUUCUAGCACUUUAACUGGCAGAGGUUAGCAGAUUUUUGGCUCUGUAUCCUAGCAGCUAUCUCUCGAUUAUAUAAUGAGGUAUUGCUUUUUCCUGUGCAUGUGUAAUUUGUUGUGGAUUUUGGUUAGGCGUCGUUAACAGUUUGACAGGAUUUAAGCGGUGUAGAAGGCGGGAGACACUUCAAGAAAUUCAGCAGGGACGUGUAAUGAGUGAUUGACAGUGCCAACAAACAUGAUGAUCCAACUAAUUCAGCUGCAUCAUUUAUACUGCCAGCCUUUUAUUAAUGUGUAUUUUAUUUUAUUUUAUUUUCAUCAAGGAAACUGAUUUACUUUCCUUGUGAUGAUGUGCUUGUUUCACAAAGAUUAUGAG